rnacentral:lncRNA from 1 species
GAUCCCGCAGGUACAAACUUGGAGUAGGCACUGACAGGCCGGCCUUCCUCCGAUCUACACCUCCACUCUAUCUCUCUCAAUUAGUAGAAACUAGAAGAUCUAUUUCUGCUUACAUUGGUUGCUAAGCCUAAAAAGAAAUAUUAUUUAGAGAAGAGGUUUUCCUUCGAGGGCACCCCUCAACUCUAUGAUAACUUCUUGUCUUCUCCAGGGGCCAGGGGGUCUCCUUAUAUAGUCCUCCUCCUCUAUGCGUUUUUGGGUCGGUAGGCGAUGUGGUACUACGUUAUCCUUGAACCUUUAGGUCAGUGGAAUGUCGUGUGCAAAAAGAGUCCCGAACGGAGUCCAGGUCAGGGCGGGCGCCCAGGGAAGGAGGGCGGGCACCCUGGGCCUGGCCCCUUUCGGCCUCUGCUUUCUUCCCGUGGCUUUUGGAGUCUUCUAGAUGGUAGAAAAUUGCGCGGUGUGUUGAUAUCUCUAUGUAAUCCUGACAUGUGGGCCUUUCUUCCGUAUUUCCUGAUAACCCCCUGCAGAAAUAGACAAACACCAAAACUCGUGGAAUUCUGUCAGAUAAAACCCUAAGUCUAGAUGUUGAUUUCAUUUGGAUCCUUUUCUUUGUUUAUUUGAUAAUUAAAUUUGAUACUUAAGGACCGUCAACAAAAUCCCCCAAGCUUAUCUCUUGCUCGUCCCUGAGCAAGGAUGGACUCAAGAGUUUCUGCAGUGGUUUCAUGCCUUAAAGGUACACACGCAUUCAAGCAAGAUCUCAUCUCUCAGUUAGAAUAAACUGUUAAGACUUAAAACUUACUCAUUUUACCUUUCACCAUGGGGCUUGUAACCGUCACUUGUGUCUUGAGCAGUUAAAAGAUAGAACGGUCAAGUCAAGCGCCAUGUCUUGUAUUCUUGAUUAGCUAUAGCUCUAGAGUUUUUGCAGAUUUUCAAAUAAAACUCAGAGUUUCCUUGUAUGACUCUCUCUAGUCUCUCUUUUGUGGUAUUUCUGGAUCCUUACCAAGGCAGUAAUGGUAUAUGCCUUCUCUCAAAGUAUGUGGUAUUUUUGGUAUGAGGCAUAGUGAUAUUGCCUUCUCUCUCACCCUACUCUAAUAAGGUUCUGAUAUCUGGAGCUCAUAGGUGGAAGACAGCUAAUACAUACAUACAAGACAUUUAUUGCAUAGUCAAACCAUGGAUCCAGAGAAACAAGUCAAUAAGUCAAAUCAAGAUGUGCAUGUGUGGCGAGUGAAUGGUGUAUGGUGAUGAUGGAGAUAACAAUGGUGAAAAUCUAUUUCUACUUUUGCUCUUUUAAGGGGAUACAUACCUUUCUUGCACUUUGAAGCUUUUUGAGGAGAAUGAGAUGCUCUAUAUUUUUUUUUCUUUUCUCUCAGGUGGGUAUCUUGUACCCCUAAUUCUACUAUCGGACACUUGUCCAUUUUUACCUCUCGUCUCACUUUUUCUUUUCUUUCGAGGUUCUGGGCACUAGCCCCUUUUUAUUUCCUCGUAUAUUAUUUAUUUUUUUUCUUUUUUUAGAGCACUCAUCUCCUGAAAUAAUGUAGCAAGUGGUAGUAACCAAGAUAACUCGAGCAUUUAUUCCACAGAGAAAAACAUAAAUAUUUUUGGUCAUUCUUUCUCGGAUUAGGAGUAGAAUAUUUUUGGGUGGUUCUGGAGAUGGAAAUGAGUGGAUAUAUGUGGAUGGUACUUCCGGAGUAGAAGUAGCAUGUAUGAGUGAACGUGCAAGCUCAUAAGUAGUAAAAAGUAAAUGUGUGGCUCAAAGUCUAAUAAGCAUGUAUAUAUGGCUGUGGUAGGAUUUUAAACUCUCAUCAUAUAGGAACUCAUCAUGUGACAUUUUAAAGAUUUUUCAAAGAUAAAAUUCUCCAGAAUUCUAGCAUCUCUAGGAAUAGAUAAACAGCAGCUCAACCUUCCCAUAUCAUAUCCGUUAACAACUUAGACUUUAGAUCAAGUACUCUUCCCACAAGUUCAGGUUUAGAGCAAAUCUUACUUCAUAACAGUCAUGCCUAAACUUGAGAGAGAUUUCAAUUUUAAGAACUAGUCAUGGCAGAGCAACUAUUCAUCAUUUCCAUGUGAGAGUUUAUCAUGAGAGUUCAUAGCAAACUUUAUUUAUUUAUUUAUUUAGCAAACUAAGCAAAAAUAUAUAUAUAAGCACAAAAUCUUUAAUUGGGUUUUCAUGAUUAUGCAUCUUUUAUUAUUUGAGUAUGGUAUAAACGCGAGUAGAAACACUUAGCUGGAUAAAUGGGGGUGCUCUCCCCCAAGCUGGAUUUUGACGUAAUUUCUUCUGAUGUAGCUAGCAGGUGGUGGAGGUGUAUUUGAAAGCUGGAAGCACCCUGACAGUGAUUAGGAUGUCCUCCGUCUGCUAGUCUUCUUUCAUCCUUGAAUUCUGUGGAGCUCAAAUAGACAACAAAGCUUUGUGGAACUGGUUAAGUGUUAAUAUCUAGCCUUUAUCAUGUUGAGCCUCCUCAAUAAAUGUUAUUUGUUUAGCAGGAUCAUGCACUUAUUAUUUUUAUAUUUUUAUUGUAAGAUGAAAACUUAUUUAUUUUAUUUUUAUUCCACCACAGUGAAUGUACUUAUGGGUUUUAUGCCAUGAGCAUACUCACAUGGGGCUUACUAUUUUUUAACAUUUUUAUUUUCUUUUCAAGAUAGCAUGAACCUGAUUAACUAAGCAAACUAUAAUUGAAUAAUUGAAAGGAAAAGGAUAACUACCAAGUUUACCUCUUGGCAAGGCGCUCGGUGUUUUUAAGUCCUCCGAACAGGACUCUCCAUUUUCUCAGUCGUCCUGGGAUUCGCUGGAUGGCGUAGUCGGUGGUUCCGGCGGCGCCUCCUCUUCGUGUAUAACUAUCUUCUCUCUCCACACCUGACUCGGUGCUACGGUCUCCUCAGGACAGUUCUGUUCAAGCUGUAUGUCUUCAGACCUUAUCACUUCUCCUUCGUAGUCUACCCAUCCGUCCUUGAUGAUUUGCCUCCUCUGGUUUCGGUUACGUCGCCUUCUUCGGAAGUGCAUGUGGACUUCUCCGGUUCCAAUAUAGAUGAUGGCCUUGAUAGUGUUGCGGAGCGGUCUUUCAAGGAUGGUAGGUGGAUCACACUCGUCUUCUCCCAUGUCAAUGUCCUGAAAAUCAUCUGGAGCUGAAUGUAUAUUGGUUGUAGGGGCAUGGUUCCAUGCAGGAGCUGAUAAGUGACUGCGGUCAUUAUGUUGUCGUCAGAUCCGGUGUCGUAGAGUGUCUUCUAAAAAGAGUAUCCGUUGAUUGUGCACUUGAUGCUUGGAGCACCAGGGUCGUCCUUCAUGAUCAGGAAGAGCGACUUGAGUCGACGAUCUUGACCUCCUCUGACAAGGAUCCAAUGUUUUAAGUCUUCUGGACAAGACUUCUCACCGUCUUCGUCCUUUAGGUGCAUCAUUUGAUUAGGUGUGGACCUUGACGUCUGCACGGUGUCACCCAUGUUCUUCGUUUGCCCAGCAGUUCGAAGUGCGGUAUUGGCAAUAUCCUGCUCAGUGUGUUUGUGCUCGUAGAUCCAGGUCCUUCAGUUGGUGGAGUCUGGAAGUUGUAAAACUCCUCCAUGUUUUGCUUGAAGUGUACCUGUUUAUAGAGACAAGACAGAGAUCAAGUGCAUGGGCCCUGUUGGUGGAAAACACCAACAGAACCAAAAGUGUAUUUGUUCUUCUCUAACCUUAAGCAUAGUGAGCAAGACAAAGUUGAUGAGUGUAGCAUUUGUCAGAUCAGAUGGCUCAACCUAAUGGAAAGAUAAUCUAUUUAUGUUUUGUUUAUAUUUUCCAGAGAUUGAAUGUGCAACAUAUUAGCUUAUAUGAUUAGGAGUGUGGGAUCACGAAGGUAGUACUAAGAACAAAGAUUAAAGGACUAAACAUGUUGAAUUAAUUGGGUUGGUUAAUUUGGAGCUAUAAAUCAUACAUGUUUGUCUCUUUAUUUAUGUGAAUGCUAGAACCAAGGAGAAACUUAUAAAAGCGAUAGUCAAGUACCUUAAGAUGUUACCUUACUUGAAGAGUGAUGGUAUAGUAUCACCUUGUGGAAACUUUCCUUUCUUAGCGGUUGUGCAUCGUGUUUGUGGCAUUCUUUGUCUCGUUCCAUGGAUCAUCUCUUUAUGAUGAAUGAGCUAUGUCUUCCUUGUGCAAGUCGUUAAAUUUCAUGUGUCUUCUUUAUCUCCAAUGAGUUUAUAUCUCAGGACUUCCCAGGUUGAUAAUUAAAGUUUUCCUGCAGGGGUUAGUUCGACACAAUAUACCAAUGUCUACACAAGCAGUUUUUAGUUCAAUAACCGAACUAGACUCCAUGUCUAAUCAGAUUAAGGAAGGCUGUUUAACCUAAGCACCAUGCUUAAUUU